CAGGCAGUUUAACCCCCAGUAACCCUGCAGGCACAAGCACAACUGUAAAACAGACCACGACAACCAAACACACGCCGAACUCCACCCUCAUCCCAGGUAACCCCACCACGCCUGCCCCCCCUGCAUCACCAACUUCCCCUUCCUUUCCUUCAACGCACCCCCCCCUGGUCUGUAUCCAUGGACAGAACGUGAAUGGAGUGUGCCUCUGUCCGGACGAAUGGACUGGGAAGUUCUGCCAAAUACCAAAUUUCUGCAAUGGAACCAUUGUCGGUGUUUUCACUUUCAACAAGACUGUCAUUGGACGGUUUAGCUACUCGCGUGAGCACUGUCCGGGACCAGCCAAUGUGAGUUUUCCCCUGGCGUCAGUGCAAUGUUUGAACAAGAGCGGCUCACCGGGUUUUGGUCCGGUACGGAAGCUGGACUGUGACCUGACCCUGAAUGAUCUCCAA